CACGUAGGGUCCGAGCGUUUGUCCGGAAUUACUGGGCGUAAAGCGCGCGCAGACGGCCCGACACAUCGGCGGUGAAAGCCCCCCGCUUAACGGGGGGAGGGUCCGUCGUGAUGGUCGGGCUGGAGGCAGGGAGAGGGCGGUGGAAUUCCGGGUGUAGUGGUGAAAUGCGUAGAGAUCCGGAGGAACACCAGUGGCGAAGGCGGCCGCCUGGACCUGACCUGACGCUGAGGCGGCGAAGGCGCGGGAGCGAACGGG
rnacentral:rRNA from 1 species